GAUGAACGCUGGCGGCGUGCCUAAUACAUGCAAGUCGAGCGAACAGACGAGGAGCUUGCUCCUCUGAUGUUAGCGGCGGACGGGUGAGUAACACGUGGAUAACCUACCUAUAAGACUGGGAUAACUUCGGGAAACCGGAGCUAAUACCGGAUAACAUAUUGAACCGCAUGGUUCAACAGUGAAAGACGGUCUUGCUGUCACUUAUAGAUGGAUCCGCGCCGCAUUAGCUAGUUGGUAAGGUAACGGCUUACCAAGGCAACGAUGCGUAGCCGACCUGAGAGGGUGAUCGGCCACACUGGAACUGAGACACGGUCCAGACUCCUACGGGAGGCAGCAGUAGGGAAUCUUCCGCAAUGGGCGAAAGCUUGACGGAGCAACGCCGCGUGAGUGAUGAAGGUCUUCGGAUCGUAAAACUCUGUUAUUAGGGAAGAACAAAUGUGUAAGUAACUAUGCACGUCUUGACGGUACCUAAUCAGAAAGCCACGGCUAACUACGUG
rnacentral:rRNA from 1 species